GCCGCAGUGUGUCACAUUUCGUCGGCGGAGAACAACGCCAAUCUUCGGAAAGUUGCCAGCAGGCAGUUCGGUGAAUUACUGAUUUUAUUAAAAGGGAAAACACUUAGCAACAGCCAUCUGCUUCUUACUCACAUUUCUCGCCGAACGUGUCCGUAUUUCGACUUCAAAAUGUUUUCAAAUUUACCACCGGAGAUCAUUGUUAAAGUGUUGGACUACCUUUUACUUGAAGACCAAAUGCGAUUGGCCCAAGUCAACCAGCAUCUUCAGGACGCAUUUGUCUGCCGCAAUAAACGGGAGUUUAAGGAACUCAAUGGAUUUUUCUAUGAAGAAAAAACAUUGUCAGUUUUGCUGCCCCUAUGCGGCUAUAUUGUUGUCGAUCUUUUCUUAGAAAUCGGAAGUAACCUAAUUCUUAAAAACGUAGAAAAGUAUUGCACUAACCUGGAAAAAGUUAUGUUUUGGAUUCGAAAAGAAACAAGUGUCACCGCGCUCAAAUCCAUUUUAAGCAAGGAGAGCCUAAGAACCAUUAAAUUGCAUAAUUUGACACGGGGAGGACUAGACAAUAUGCUCCAGUACAUCAAUACAGACUGCAAAGUGUUGAGUUUAGAGAACGUUUCACAUGACGACCUGCAACAUUUGCCGCAACUGAUUGGCUUGGAAGAACUGGAAGUUAAUUUUCGGAAAAGUGACAUGACGGAUUUGUUUAAAAAAUGUUUCUCUUACAAGAAACUGCGUGUCUUGAAAAUUUGUAUGUGCCGAAUGCUAAUGGGGGGGCCUGAUUUUGUAUUUCCUGAAUUGGAAGAGCUUGAAUUGAAACCUGUGUAAAACUCAAAUCGUUGAAGUUGUGUUCCAAUUUAUAUAAUGAUAAGGUAAACAUUGUUAACAUUAUUGCACAGUGUGCACCCACCCUGGAACGUCUAGUUUUUAUAUCAAGAGAGACGUAUAAGCCCCAAUUUACUGCUCACCAUUUGAUAGAGCUUCUCAGAAAGUGUAGAACCAUCGAAUUUAUUUAUGUAUCAGCUGAUAUCAUAAGGAAUGUAUUCUUAAGAAACGAGAGCUCCUUUGUUGACGUUUUAAAGGAAAAUGGUUUCAACGCAGAAAGACGUUUGGAAAUCGGGGUGUACAGCUUUUCGGACAAGCAGGAUGUGGAAAACCAAGUCCCAAACUCGGAAGCAUGGAAUUUCAUCAAAUGUAUGCUCUACAGAAGCUAACAUCCAGAGACCAGUACCGUGGAAUCAUGUCAGGGGUCCCCCAGUGAGGGUCCUGGCUUCCCAGCCCUGGCCAUGGAUCCGUUCCCAUUUACGCACAAUAAUCAAACUCGAACUCGACUGCAGCUACAAUGGCACAUGGAUUGACUUUGAGAGCGAUAUUUAUAGCCACUUCAUUGAGUUUAUGGUGGAUAUGCUUGAUUAGGGUUACUUAUUGAUAAGAAUAUUAAAGAAGAAACCCCUUUCAUAGUCUUCUGUUUUGUCUGAACUCACAAACCACGAACCGAACUACUAGUUCACGAUAACUCUCGACGAUCG